UACGGGGGGGGGCAAGCGUUGUUCGGAAUUAUUGGGCGUAAAGGGCUCGUAGGCGGUCUGUUGCGUCAGGAGUGAAAAACUCGGGGCUUAACCCCCGAGCCUGCUUCUGAUACGGGCAGACUAGAGGUAUGCAGGGGAGAACGGAAUUCCUGGUGUAGCGGUGAAAUGCGCAGAUAUCAGGAGGAACACCGGUGGCGAAGGCGGUUCUCUGGGCAUUACCUGACGCUGAGGAGCGAAAGUGUGGGGAGCGAACAGG
rnacentral:rRNA from 1 species